CAUCCUCCUACAACCGUUGACAAAAUAACGUUAGCUAAUAUUAACGUUAUAUCAGACGAGUCAUUCUCACACUAAACCUAUGGUGACAUACAAGGGUUGAGUAUUUUAUUUAUUGCAUUUUCACCCCAGCCUACUACUAAGGACUUGAUAACUAUCUGAUGACCUAGCAACAAACAACAGUCUGCCCAACUUGGAACCAGGGACAUCAUAAAAACACGGUGUAAUGACAAUAAAACGAUCCAUCAACCACCACACCUUUAUUGACUGCCAUGAAACCAUACAGCAGCUACGGCUGCUGAGAAAUUGAGAUUACUACUACUAGCUUAUCCACCAAGACGCAUUUCAACAGAGCUUAUCCACCAAGACGCAUUUCAACAGAGCUUAUCCACCAAGACGCAUUU